rnacentral:lncRNA from 1 species
AAAUUGGGGUCUUACAACCAGGUGAAGGAUUAUUGUUGAUUCGAAGACCUUGAGGUGUAAAUGAGAAAAACUUGGAGUAAAGCAACUUCUGUACCUGGCUUUUCAGCACUUUACAGUCUUCAAUUGAAUGCCCAUGUGCCCUAGCAUGGAAGUCAUAUCAGGCGUUGACGUCAAAGCCUGAUGGGUAUGGAGGAAUCAAUGGACGCAGUUCCUUCGGCACUAUCAAUCCACCUUUGAUCAAAUACGAUAGUACUUGACUGUACGAC